CUUGCAAAAAAGAGUAACAUCGCCUAUAUUAAAAGGGUCAGGCAACUGACUACGGCACUAGAGGCGGUAUAAAAUAGGUAUUUAGGACCCGGGGGCAGAUCCCGGCACCUCCACCAAUUAAAGAAUUGCACUUUCCACCGGCUUGCCGACUGUGGCAAUACAGAACAGCCAUUAUAUGCGGUAAGUUUUAGGAAAGGGUUUCUACUCGAUGUCUAUAAGAUAUCCAUAAAUUGUGGAGAAUGAGUCGAGUAGUAGGCGUCAAGGGCGAGAACAGCGGAGUGUACAUAGAGGUACAUGAGCAUGUUCGAGACCCAACCCAAGCUUGCCGAAUGUGGCAAUACAGAAAAGCCAUUAUAUGCGGUAAGUUUUAGGAAAGGGUUUCUACUCGAUAUCUAUAAGAUAUCCAUAAAUUGUGGAGAAUGAGUCGAGUAGUAGGCGUCAAGGGCGAGAACAGCGGAGUGUACAUAGAGGUACAUGAGCAUGUUCGAGACCAGCAGACAACGCCCUAAUCGACCAUUAUACACAAUUUAUAUAUGGGGGGUGAGUUAGGUUUGACUAACAUACAAUAAAAAUACUUGUUGUGCUCGGUGAGAUACCACCGUUAUCGGUUCAAAUUAAAUAAAUGCUAACGAUAAUAACGUAGCACCUGUUGCUGUAGCUGCUUAAGGCAAGGCAACAAACGCAAAUUCUCUUAACUAUGGUUAGUUAGAGUGGGGCUUGGGCCGCCUAGCAACAGAAGGCCC
rnacentral:tmRNA from 1 species